rnacentral:rRNA from 1 species
UACAGAGGUCCCGAGCGUUGUUCGGAUUCACUGGGCGUAAAGGGUGCGUAGGUGGUUGGGUAAGUUUGAUGUGAAAGCUCAGGGCUUAACCCUGAAAUGGCAUUGAAUACUACUUAACUGGAGGUUUGGAGGGGGGACUGGAAUUCUUGGUGUAGCAGUGAAAUGCGUAGAUAUCAAGAGGAUCACCAGUGGCGAAGGCGAGUCCCUGGACAACACCUGACACUGAGGCACGAAAGCUAGGGGAGCAAACAGG